CUUCAACGAGCCGAGCCACAGCGGCUCCUGGCCCUCGGGCCGGUCCUUGCCGUACGUGGCGAUGAGGGCCUGGGCCUC
rfam:Streptomyces sp. NRRL WC-3618 P435contig47.1, whole genome shotgun sequence.